CAAAAAGGUUCUUCGACUUCUUUCCCAAACAACGUGGUCUCUCUCCUGGAUUAGAAUAAGUUGACAUACUGGGUCACGCUAAAGGAGAAACCUUUGUUCCUGGGUUGCCUUCACACCUGACAAGCUUCCAGUUAGAGCUGCUUCUGAAAAUUCUUUUCUGGAUGAAUACUACAGAAAAAUGAGGAAGCGCAUCAAGAGUCAGCCUGUUUGGAGACAUCGCCUGCGGUGAGUGAUUUCCAGAAACACUGACUCAGUGGAGUCAUGGAACAAUAAUGAAGGGUAACUGUCCAAAGGUUUUCAAAAAAACUCUUAAUAUAUUGCUUCAUGUUAAAAGUCGUCAGCACCAUUGGCAAGCACUAAAGAUGAAUAUGAAGGAGUUGUACUUUUCUGGAUGUGAUUAAUUUUGGCACAGUGCUUGUUCCCAUGGCUAAGCCCUGUGUGCACUGCUGUUCUUGUCAGGAUUUUCCGUUAAAGGAUUACAUAUGCCGUUCCACUGGAAGUGUUAAGUCAAUUGAUCAAGUCAAUGAAGUCUUGCAACCUCUAUGUGUGGCAGAGCAUGAUCUUGGAUAUCUUCAGCAAAGAAUGUGAGCUCCUCCCAAAAGAGAAGUAAUUUGCUUUCCAGCCAUGAAAAUGCAAGUGACCGUGGAUGAUGGGGGAGGUCGUGCAGAACUGGUGAUUGUGUCCUACUCCUUUUCCCAGUAGUCUGUCAUUUUCCUGCAUUGGCAGACUUUUAUUUGAGAACCAUUUUUGACGAAUGCAAAGCUGGCUGCCAGAGGUUUUGUGCCUGCCAACCUGCUACAAAACUAAGAUUCUGGAUUUACUGCCAAGUUCAGCAUCAUGCAAAUUGACUCUGAGAGAGGCAUGAUUCAGGGUUGUUACAGUCCACGGAAAUAUUUUCCUUGCUUUUAUUAGACUUUUGAUCAGUUCUAAAUGUAGAAUUUGGAUAAGCUUAAGCAAUAGCUUGUAGAAACUUACACAGACAUUGUUUCUGGUAUUAUCAAAUACUCUGGAAGCCUGAUUAUGAUAUACAUUUGGUCUCUAUUAUGCCAUGAAGUAGGCAUAUCAGUUAAUUAGCUAUCAGCUGCAAUUCCUUUGUUUGUACAAUGUAAUUGUUUACCGUGAAAAAAAUUUUAGAUUAUUUGUUUAGAUUAAUUACUUAAAUGUACCUAAAUUAAGGUGGCAUAGGGGAGAAAUUUGAGAUCAUUCUACUAAUUGCUUAGCAGGCUAAUGGAACGUUGAACUCCAAAAUUACUUCUGCUUAAAACUUCUGCAAAGCAACAAACAUUACGGAGUAAAUAACUGAGUGCUCUCUCUGCCUCUAGUUUUCAUUUUGUCUUUCUUCAAAGAAGCUGCAUUCAGAAAAGGUGAAAUUUAUUUUUUUUUAUUCAGAGUCUGUAUUUAUGUAGAUGACAUUCUGAUGACAUACCUAGCGUAAUAAUUCUGAAUUUAACAUAACGUGUGGCACCCAUUAAAUGUGUCUAAAGUAAUUCAUAUUUCUGGCCCCCUGUUUUACAGAAGAUAUGCUGAUGUGCAUCAUCAUCUUAUUAUUGAGAGUUUAUAAUUCUGGACUUGACUUACAUUGGUGUCAUUCACACAAAGCAGCUUAUCUGUGCGUAUCGACCUCUUUUCACGGUCGGGAAGAUAAAUGUAUAUUUGAUAGAUCCAGUCUGUAUGGUUUUUGGCCGCUGAUUA